ACAUUCGUUUUAUUUUGUGAGGUGCUUCGGCAAGCUUCUUUUAAUCUUUACUUUUGGUCACGUUGCGAAGGAGAGUUAUUCGAAAGGUCGAAAUAACUGAGUUCGGGAGACAGUUUAUAAUCGAGAAAAUGCCGCCUCUUGAAACGGAUAUAGCAGUGGAAGCCGGAGAGAGAGUAAGAUUUGACUAUCGUAUAACACAGGAGCUUAAAGAUCUGUGUUCAGUAAUAAAGCAGCUAAUGUCAGAGCGGCUUAGAAGUAUCAGGGAGUUGAAAGAGAUAGCGGAAAUGUGCAAGCCUGAUCAGUCACAAAAUCGAAUUGCCGAAGUAAAUGCAAAACAAGAGAAACCGCAUGCAGGAAAAGAGGAAAAGUAGAAGAGAUUAGAAGCGAAAUCUACAGCAUCGGUUCAGUAGAUACACAUAAUAGGAAUACCUGAAACAGAAGACAAAGCAAAUGAAGCUGAAACAAUAAGGGACUAAUUGAAGAAAAUUUUCCAAAUUCGAAGAACAAGCUAAAUCUGCAAAUAGAAAAGGUUAAUAGAGUACCAGUAAAACAACGAAAAGAAAGCAACACCUACACAUAUCCUAUUGACGUUUUUAAAUUGGAAGGAUAAAGAAGAAAAAUUCUACGAGUAUUCAGAGAAAGCAGGUUAAACUAUAAGGGAUAAAAGUCAGACUGUCCCGAUUUUUCUCUUUCAGCUCUAAAUGCCGAAAGGCAAGGGAGCAAUAUCUCUAGUUUUAAGGGAAAAUGAUUUUGAGCCAAGAGUUCUAUAUCCUGCCAAGUUACGGUUUAUAUAUGAAGGCAACUGGAGGACGUUCCCAGAUAUGCAGGAGUUAAAAGAGUAUUUUUUCUUUAUUUGUUAAAUGCUGUUACUACAGCCCGCAAAAACAAGUAGUGAGGCAGUUGUAAGGAAAAAAA